rnacentral:lncRNA from 1 species
AUGGCUGAGCCAGGCAGCUCCACCAGCUCUCUGGGUGCCUCUCCCUCUUCCGUAAGGCGGACAGGCCAGACCUGUGAAGCCGUCGUGAACUUGGAGGGAAAGUCCGUGUCAGAUCUGCUCCUUUCCCCAGAGGGCCAGCAAGACCCCGCACACUCUGGCCCUGCUCUCCCUGACAUAACGGUCCCCAGACCGGGCGGGAGGAGCAAGCCCAGACCCCAAGAUCCCGCAGCUGCGCACCUUGGGCUUAGCCUCCUCACCCGUUUCUGCAGGCGCCCUGGCUUCCCCAGAGGUGUUACUAGUUUGAACAAACCUCCCUCUUCAGAUGCUUUGUCUUAUGCUGCUCUGAAGCUUUUGCUGCUGGACACUGGCCUGAGUGCAGCCUCCUGGAGAUGGUUCCCUUGUGAAAAGAUGUUAUCUUGGGACCAGAGGAUUCUAAUGUGUCAGUUCUUCAAGCAUCUUGUACAUCAGACAGUCAGCCCUUCUCCUGUCAUGUUUCCCAUUGGAGACGAAGAGAUGUACCCCUGAUCCCCGCGUGAUGACUUCUCUUCCGAAAGGCUGCCUCUACCCCUUUGCUUGGGUUUUCUGAGAACUGCGAGAGUAUCUUUUGUGUGUGUGUGUUUGUAUUUUUUUAAGUAUAGUUGAUCGACGAUGUGGUGCCAGUGUCUGCUCUACAGCAAGCUGACCCAGUCAUAUGUAUACACACAUUCUUUCUCUCGUGUCACCCCCAUCACCGUCUGUCCCGAGAGACUGGGUACAGUUCCCUGUGCUUAUGGCAGGACUUCAUUCCCCAUCCAUUCUAAAUGUAACAGUUUGCAUCUACUAACCUCAAACUCCCAGUCCAUCCCACUAUGUGUGAGCACCUUGAAUGCCACUAGAAUUCACAUCUUCUUACACAAGCUGACACCCGAGUCCCUGUGAGAACUCCACCGAUCAUCCCUCAAGCUCCAAAGGGGCUUCAAGAUGCCCCUGAAUGUCAGGGAAGGGACCCCAGGGCCCAGCACAGAGAUGUGGGCAGCAGGCAGUCUUCUGAUGGGCUGAAGCUUGGUGCUCAGCGUGCCAUCUCUUGGGCCACCCUGACUCCCGUGCAUUGCACUCAUUCCCAUAGAUGGGCAAAGGCUGAGGCCAGUCAGGGCUGAGGAAGGUCAAGCAGCACUUUGGGAAGAUGGGCCCUGCUGGGCCAACCUGUGGCGAAGGGGUGUGGAGGGUUCGCUUCUUAACCGGCAAGAUCCUCUCUGUAACUAACAAAAUGCAACAAUGUAUUAAAAACAAUACAGCAUGACCAAAGGAGCUUUGAAACACAAAUGCAGGGAUGGUUCAAUAGAUUAAAGAAAUUUCAAAACCUAGGAGUUCCUGUUGUGGUUCAGAGGUAAUGAAACCUCCUCGUAUCCGUGAGCACAUGGAUUCAAACCCUGGCCUCGCUCAGUGGAUUGAGGAUCCUGCAUUGCUGUGGGCUGUGGUGUAGGUCACAGAUGCGGCUCGGAUCAUGAGUUGCCGUGGCUGUGGUGCAGGCCGGCAGCAGAAGCUCCGAUUUGACCCCUAGCCUGGGAACUUCCAUAUGUCACACAAGUGCCCCUACAAAAAAGCAAAAGAAAAAAUAUUUUAAAACCUGUUUGUGAUUUAUAAAAUAUCUCUUAACAAACUUGGAAUGGAAGUGAAGUUCAAUAACAUGAUAAAGUUCACAAUCAAUAUGAGAUACCACCUCACACCAGUCAGAAUGGCCAACGUCAAUACGUUCACAAAUAACAAAUGCUGGAGAGGGUGUGGAGAAAAGGGAGCCCUCCUGCACGGUUGGUGGGAAUGUCAAUUGGUGCAUCCACUAUGAAAAACUGUAUGGAGGUACCUCAGAAAACUAAAUAUAGAACUACCAUAUGACCCAGCAAUCCCACUUCUGGGCAUAUAUCUGGACAAAACUUUCCUUGAAAAAGACACAUGCACCCAUAUGUUCAUUGCAGCACUAUUCACAAUAGCCAAGACAUGGAAACAACCUAAAUGUCAGACAGACGACUGGAUUAAGAAGAUAUGGUACAUGUACACAAUGGAAUACUACUCAGCCAUAAAAAAGAACAAAAUAAUGCCAUUUGCAGCAACAUGGAUGGAACUAGAGACUCUCAUGCUAAGAGAAGUAAGUCAGAAAGAGAAAGACAAAUAACAUAUGAUAUCACUUAUAUCUGGAAUCUAAUAUAUGGCACAAAUGAACCUUUCCACAGAAAAUAAAUUCAUGGACUUGGAGAACAGACUUGUGGUUGCCAAGGAGGAGGGGAAGGGAGUGGGAUGGAGUUGGAAUUGGGAGUUAAUAGAUGUAAACUAUUGCAUUUGAAUAGAUAAGCAAUGAGAUCCUGCUGUAUAGCACUGGGAACUAUAUCUAGUCACUUGUGAUGGAGCAUGAUGGAGGAUAAUGUGAGAAAAAGAAUGUGUGUAUGUGUGCAACUGGGUCACUUUGCUGUACAGUAGAAAACUGACAGAACACUGUAAACCAACUAUAAUGGAAAAAAUAAAAAUUGUUAUAAAAAAGUUCACAAUCAAAGCCUUGUAGCAAAAUUUAUACUAACUGGAGAAACUUCUCAUUCAUUCUCUUCAAGAUCUGGUUGAGGUCAGGUCAAGUGUGCCUCUAUGUUACAGUUACUGCCUAACACAGGACUGGUGACUGUAACCAACAUGAUAAGGAAAGAAAAAUAAAUGAGACACAUGGAUUAUAAGAGAAGAGAUAAAAAUCAAUAUUAUUCACAGAAGAUACAAUCAUCUAUCAGGGGGAAAAAUGGUAGAAUAAAUGAGGAAACUUUAGAAUAAGAGUCUAAUAAAAUUGCUGAAUAAAAAAACCAAGCUAUAAAGAUGAGUCUUAUUUUCCUUGGGACAUUGGGCAGAGUGAGAUAAGCCAGUCAUAAAGGACAAACAAUUUUCUUUCUUUUUUUUUUUUUUUUUUUUUUUGCUUUUUGCUUUUUAGGGCCAUACCCACAGCAUGUGGACGGUACCAGGCUAGCGGUUAAAUCAGAGCUACAGCUGCGGGCCUACACUACAGCCACAGCAACUUGGGAUCCGACCCAUGUCUGUGACCUACACCACAGCUCAUGGCAAUGCCAGAUCCUUAACCCACUGAGCGAGGCCAGGGAUUGAACUCGCAUCCUCAUGUAUACUAGCCAGAUUCAUUUCUGCUGAGCCAUGAUGGGAACUCCAGGACAAAUAAUUAUGAAUCCACUCAAAUGAGGUCCUCGAAGUGUCUAGAUUAGAGGCUGAAAGUAGGAGGGUGGGUGCCAGGGGCUCGAGGAUGAGGGGAGUUAGAGUUCAAAGGAGACAGAGUUUCAGUUGGGAAGAUGAAGAGUUUCUGGAGAUGGGUGGUGAUGAUGGCUGCACAGCAAUGUGAAUGCGCCUGACGUCACGGAGCUGUGCACUUAAAAUGGGUUUAAAUAGCAAAUUUUACAUUACUUGUGUUUUAUCAAAACGAAAAAAAUAGUAUGGUAAAUGAGCCAGACACAAAAGGUUGCAGAUUGUAAGACUCCAUUUCUGUGAAAUAUCCAGACUGGGGAAACCUAUUGAAAUGGAAAACAGACUGGUGGUUUCCGGGGAGAAAGGUGAGUCACUGUGUAAUGGGGACAGGGUUCCCUCUGGAGUGGUGAAAACACUCUGCAACUAGGUAGGGAGG